AUUGAACGCUGGCGGCAUGCCUUACACAUGCAAGUCGAACGGCAGCACGGGAGCAAUCCUGGUGGCGAGUGGCGAACGGGUGAGUAAUAUAUCGGAACGUGCCCAGUCGUGGGGGAUAACGUAGCGAAAGCUACGCUAAUACCGCAUACGAUCUACGGAUGAAAGCGGGGGAUCGCAAGACCUCGCGCGAUUGGAGCGGCCGAUAUCAGAUUAGCUAGUUGGUGGGGUAAAAGCUCACCAAGGCGACGACGGGUAGCCGGUCUGAGAGGAUGUACGGCCACACUGGGACUGAGAUACGGCCCAGACUCCUACGGGAGGCAGCAGUUGGGAAUCUUAGGCAAUGGACAAAAGUCUGACCUAGCGACGCCGCGUGAGGGAAGAAGGCCUUCGGGUUGUAAACCUCUGUCAGUGGGGAAGGAAGUAAGUGAGGUACCCCGAAGAGGAAGCCCCUGCUAACUACGUG
rnacentral:rRNA from 1 species